AAAUUGAAGAGUUUGAUCAUGGCUCAGAUUGAACGCUGGCGGCAGGCCUAACACAUGCAAGUCGAACGGUAACAGGAAUCAGCUUGCUGAUUCGCUGACGAGUGGCGGACGGGUGAGUAAUGUCUGGGAAACUGCCUGAUGGAGGGGGAUAACUACUGGAAACGGUAGCUAAUACCGCAUAAUGUCGCAAGACCAAAAAGGGGGACCUUCGGGCCUCUUGCCAUCAGAUGUGCCCAGAUGGGAUUAGCUUGUUGGUGGGGUAACGGCUCACCAAGGCGACGAUCCCUAGC
rnacentral:rRNA from 1 species